rnacentral:tRNA from 1 species
GCGCUCAUAGCUCAGCUGGAUAGAGCCCUUGGCUACGAACUAAGGGGUCGGGAGUUCGAAUCUCUCUGAGCGCACCA